GUGGGGAAUUUUGGACAAUGGGCGAAAGCCUGAUCCAGCCAUGCCGCGUGCAGGAUGAAGGCCUUCGGGUUGUAAACUGCUUUUGUACGGAACGAAAAGACUCCUUCUAAUAAAGGGGGUCCAUGACGGUACCGUAAGAAUAAGCACCGGCUAACUACGUGCCAGCAGCCGCGGUAAUACGUAGGGUGCAAGCGUUAAUCGGAAUUACUGGGCGUAAAGCGUGCGCAGGCGGUUAUAUAAGACAGAUGUGAAAUCCCCGGGCUCAACCUGGGAACUGCAUUUGUGACUGUAUAGCUAGAGUACGGUAGAGGGGGAUGGAAUUCCGCGUGUAGCAGUGAAAUGCGUAGAUAUGCGGAGGAACACCGAUGGCGAAGGCAAUCCCCUGGACCUGUACUGACGCUCAUGCGCGAAAGCGUGGGGAGCAAACAGGAUUAGAAACCCGGGUAGUCC
rnacentral:rRNA from 1 species